rnacentral:rRNA from 1 species
CCUACGGGAGGCAGCAGCUAAGAAUAUUCCGCAAUGGACGAAAGUCUGACGGAGCGACGCCGCGUGGAUGAAGAAGGCCGAAAGGUUGUAAAAUCCUUUUGUUGGGGAAGAAUAAGCGUGGGAGGGAAUGCCCGCGUGAUGACAUGAACCGACGAAUAAGUCCCGGCUAACUACGUGCCAGCAGCCGCGGUAAU